AGGAGCCGUAUGAAUCGAGACAUUCACGUACGGUUCUGUGAGAAUCUAGGGCUAAUAUGUCCGGGGGCAUACUCGAC
rnacentral:ncRNA from 1 species